rnacentral:rRNA from 2 species
UUGACCUUCGGAUCAGG